UAGCCUGAAAGGGAGAGAUAUUUUGCAAAAUUGGGAUAGGCUUGCAAUUGAUAAGAAAAAUUGUCGUUUGAAAAGCUUCAGCCCAAUAUUUUUUAGAAACGGAAGCAUGGGCUAAAAGGGUAAGACCGGUUUCAACAAUGUGCCGGUGCCGUCUUUCAGUUGACCCAUUUUGAGGAUGGGAAUAUGGACAGGUGACUCUAUAUUUUAUGCCAAGAGUUUGGAGAAUUUUGUAAAGGGGCUGAAACUCUUAUCCCCAGUCCGACUGUAUAGAAGCCACUUUUGAUGAAAAGAAAUUAUUAACAUAAUUCAAAAAUGCUAAGAAAAUAGCAGUAACAUCUGACUUAGACUGAAGAGGAAAAAUCCAUAAAAAUUUUGAAAAGUCAUCCGUAAUUGAUAGAUAGAAUCUGCGUCGAGCAGAGGACGGCACAGGUGCCGACCCCCAUACAUCCAAAAACAGUAACAUAAAGGGAUGGGAGCACCUAGAUGAACUAGAUGGAUGAGGAAGGGAGUGCGAUUUGGCUAAGGGACAGGUGUCACAGAUGGACAUAGCCUUCUUGGAAGAAACUAGAAGCUAAAAAUUGUUGAUGGUGAGAGACGUGGUCCUUGGUGAUGGAUGGCCCAAACGAUUGUGCCAUGUUUGGGGUGAAGUGCGUGCACCAAAUUAUGCUUGAGGUGGAGAAACAGAAGAAUGCUGCAAAGAAGAAGCCAUGACACCAGUAGGUAGCUCAUAGAGACCAUUUCUAACGUUGCCCUAAAGAAGAACACCCUGGGUGCGUAAAUCCUUCACAAAAAAACAAUCGGAGUGAAAUUCAAAGAAAACUAGAUUAUCCAAACAAAAUUGCCAAACAGACAGAAUAUUUUUAGUGAUUAAAGGGACAUGAAAUAAUUGAGAGAGGAGAAAGUUGCCAGAAGAAGAGUUGAGUUGACCGGUCCCAGUGUGUUGAAUUGGAACUGUCGAACCAUCACCGAUGCUAACUUGGUCGAAGCCUUGAUAAACCGAUGAGUCCAAACUGAGAUUCGAAAAAUCAGAGGUAAAAUGGUGGGUAGCUGCAGUGUCGGGGGAACCAGAGAUUUGGUGAGGGUGGAGAGUUGGGUAAGGUUGUAUAGUUAGCUGUAAAAGAUGGUGGUGGAGGUGCUUGGUAUGAAUGAUUGAAGCGAUAAUAGCAAGUUAGGGCUGUGUGUCCAGAUCUGUGACAAACUAGGCAAAGAGGCCUAUUAUCAGAUCGAUUUGAAAAAUGAUUUUGUGAAGUUCCUCCCCUGCCAGAACCACGACCUCUUCGCCCAUGAUUAAAAGAAUUUUUGCCACGACCAGAGUGGGAGGAAAAUUCCUUGUAGUAGUUGCAUUGGCAGCCAACUGAGUCCCUGAAAGUAGAUUAUUAGUUUGAUGAGUGAGUCUCGACUCAUGGUUUAACAAAUAGCUGUAAACCUGGGGUGUUGUGAGGGAGUCAGGCCGUGUGGUAAGUGAGGUCACUAGGGACUCAUAGUCUGUGCCCAAACCAGCUAACAGGUAAAUAAUAAAUUCAGAGGUGGGUAAUGGCUGUCCUGCAGCACCAAGUGUAGCACCAAGUGCUGUGGCUUUGUUGAAAUAUUCGGAUAUAGAGGAAGACCCUUUCUUAAGAGUGGCAAGUUGAUAGCGGGUUUGCAUGAUGUGAGCUAUGGACUGGGCAGCAAAAAGGCUUUGUAAGGUGGACCAAACCUCUGAGGACGUUGUACAAGAUAACACCUGGGCUAAAACCGAGUCAGACAAGGAAGCAUUAAUGGCAGAAACAAUGAGUUGGUCUUGCUGUAACCACUAAGUAUACGCAGGAUUGGGUUGAUUAGCAACCAUCGAAGGUGGUGCUGGGAUAGAUCCAUCAACAUGACCAUAGAGCUGAUGACCACGAAGAAAGGGCACAAUCUGUGCCUUCCAGAGCAAAUAAUUUUCAAGAGUGCGUUUAAUAGUAACAAAAUGAGUAGAAGAAUUAACAAUAGAAGCAUUGGGUGUGGUUGAAUGAGACGAAUGUGUGAGACUGGAGUUUUGUGAAGUAGUCAUGGUGAGUCGCAGAGAUAGGAACUAGACAAUGGUCUUUUAGAGGCUCUGAUUACCAUAAAGAAACAUAGAAAAUAUAGAAUAAUAGAAAGGCACACCUAUUUGAUAGAAUGCCAGAAUGAGAGAACUGAAAUUUCAGACUCUAUUUUUCAUUUGUUACAGUUCUGCAUUUACAAGCAAUUCCGCAUUCUUUUAUACACAUCUCACAGCAGACCUAUACCAUAUCACAGCAGACCUAUACAAUUCAUAUGAUUACAUAUCAGAGAAUAUUCCAAAGGAUCUUCUAGACUCAGGCCAUGUGUCAUGGUGCAAUUGGUUGAUUGUCAGAGAAUAUUUCAGAGGAAUGUAAUUCUGUUAUUUGCCGAGCAUCCAGAGAACAUGUUGCUGCUAAGUGCGCAUCACCUUCUUCCUUGAGACUGGUUGCCUUAAUACAGAGAAAGCAGGAUGAAGUACCAGUGGAUGCUACCCUCUACAAAAACAACAACAUCAAAGCUUUUUGCCCUGUUGAGAGUCCCUGGAUGCUGCGUUCAUUGCAAAAGAAUGUGGCAGCUAUUGGAGUUGCACUCCAGGCUUUGUACUAGUUAUGAUGUUUGUAGGGUGCCUUUUGUGCAGGCGAACCAUUCUCUCUCCUCUUGCUUCUUUCCUUCCAGUUUGAUAACAUAGCUACAUAUGUGGUUUAAGAGAUCAGAGUUUCUUGGAUCCAUAUUUGUCAAAAGCAUCUGCCUAACUCAGGAAGAUACCGUCUUUUCAGAAACUUUAAAGAAAGGAUUAGGAGAUAGAGCACCAUUCUUUUCACGGGAAUCGUGAGCUCUUCAUGAAAAAAAGUUUGCUUCUCCUAGAAUAAGCUUUUCAAACUUUAAGCUAGAUGUAAUUGCAUGUUUGUAGAGAAAAUAUUACCCAACCCCAACCCCCCCAAAACCCACAAGUUGGGGAUGUUUAUUUGUAAUUGUCAUGUCUUGGUUUCUAUGUAAUUACUAAUUAGAAAUUGUUUCUAAUUUUUUGAUAUUUGUUA